rnacentral:rRNA from 1 species
AGCGUACACGGUGGAUGCCCUGGCAGUCAGAGGCGAUGAAGGGCGUGCUAAUCUGCGAUAAGCGCCGGUAAGGUGAUAUGAACCGUUAUAACCGGCGAUACCCGAAUGGGGAAACCCAGUGUGACUCGUCACACUAUCAUUAACUGAAUCCAUAGGUUAAUGAGGCGAACCGGGGGAACUGAAACAUCUAAGUACCCCGAGGAAAAGAAAUCAACCGAGAUUCCCCCAGUAGCGGCGAGCGAACGGGGAGGAGCCCAGAGCCUGAAUCAGCAUGUGUGUUAGUGGAAGCGUCUGGAAAGGCGCGCGAUACAGGGUGACAGCCCCGUACACAAAAGCGCAUGUGCUGUGAGCUCGAUGAGUAGGGCGGGACACGUGGUAUCCUGUCUGAAUAUGGGGGGACCAUCCUCCAAGGCUAAAUACUCCUGACUGACCGAUAGUGAACCAGUACCGUGAGGGAAAGGCGAAAAGAACCCCGGCGAGGGGAGUGAAAAAGAACCUGAAACCGUGUACGUACAAGCAGUGGGAGCCCCACCACCAAAGCAUUCUCUGGUGUUGAAGGCCCUGCAAAGCAGCAUCGCGGUGGCGGAGCGUCGUUUGCGACGCCCAACACACAAAACAAGCGGUGAGUGCUUUGGGGUGGGGUGACUGCGUACCUUUUGUAUAAUGGGUCAGCGACUUAUAUUCUGUAGCAAGGUUAACCGCAUAGGGGAGCCGGAGGGAAACCGAGUCUUAAUUGGGCGUUAAGUUGCAGGGUAUAGACCCGAAACCCGGUGAUCUAGCCAUGGGCAGGUUGAAGGUUGGGUAACACUAACUGGAGGACCGAACCGACUAAUGUUGAAAAAUUAGCGGAUGACCUGUGGCUGGGGGUGAAAGGCCAAUCAAACCGGGAGAUAGCUGGUUCUCCCCGAAAGCUAUUUAGGUAGCGCCUCGUGAAUUCAUCUCCGGGGGUAGAGCACUGUUUCGGCUAGGGGGCCAUCCCGGCUUACCAACCCGAUGCAAACUGCGAAUACCGGAGAAUGUUAUCACGGGAGACACACGGCGGGUGCUAACGUCCGUCGUGAAGAGGGAAACAACCCAGACCGCCAGCUAAGGUCCCAAAGUCAUGGUUAAGUGGGAAACGAUGUGGGAAGGCCCAGACAGCCAGGAUGUUGGCUUAGAAGCAGCCAUCAUUUAAAGAAAGCGUAAUAGCUCACUGGUCGAGUCGGCCUGCGCGGAAGAUGUAACGGGGCUAAACCAUGCACCGAAGCUGCGGCAGCGAACGUAUCACUUAAAGCGAUUCAGCGGGUUACGAUUGACGGAGCGAAGCGACGUCAAAGCGUAUACAAAGUCGAGUCGGUUUAAGGAUACGUUCGUUGGGUAGGGGAGCGUUCUGUAAGCCUGUGAAGGUGUGUCGUGAGGCAUGCUGGAGGUAUCAGAAGUGCGAAUGCUGACAUAAGUAACGAUAAAGCGGGUGAAAAGCCCGCUCGCCGGAAGACCAAGGGUUCCUGUCCAACGUUAAUCGGGGCAGGGUGAGUCGACCCCUAAGGCGAGGCCGAAAGGCGUAGUCGAUGGGAAACGGGUUAAUAUUCCCGUACUUGGUGUUACUGCGAAGGGGGGACGAAGAAGGCUAUGUUGGCCGGGCGACGGUUGUCCCGGUUUAAGCGUGUAGGUGUGUGUUCCAGGUAAAUCCGGUUCACUUUAACACUGAGGCGUGACGACGAGGCACUACGGUGCUGAAGCAACAAAUGCCCUGCUUCCAGGAAAAGCCUCUAAGCAUCAGGUAACAUCAAAUCGUACCCCAAACCGACACAGGUGGUCAGGUAGAGAAUACCAAGGCGCUUGAGAGAACUCGGGUGAAGGAACUAGGCAAAAUGGUGCCGUAACUUCGGGAGAAGGCACGCUGACACGUAGGUGAAGUGAUUUACUCACGGAGCUGAAGUCAGUCGAAGAUACCAGCUGGCUGCAACUGUUUAUUAAAAACACAGCACUGUGCAAACACGAAAGUGGACGUAUACGGUGUGACGCCUGCCCGGUGCCGGAAGGUUAAUUGAUGGGGUCAGCGCAAGCGAAGCUCCUGAUCGAAGCCCCGGUAAACGGCGGCCGUAACUAUAACGGUCCUAAGGUAGCGAAAUUCCUUGUCGGGUAAGUUCCGACCUGCACGAAUGGCGUAAUGAUGGCCAGGCUGUCUCCACCCGAGACUCAGUGAAAUUGAACUCGCUGUGAAGAUGCAGUGUACCCGCGGCAAGACGGAAAGACCCCGUGAACCUUUACUAUAGCUUGACACUGAACAUUGAGCCUUGAUGUGUAGGAUAGGUGGGAGGCUUUGAAGUGUGGACGCCAGUCUGCAUGGAGCCGACCUUGAAAUACCACCCUUUAAUGUUUGAUGUUCUAACGUGGACCCGUAAUCCGGGUUGCGGACAGUGUCUGGUGGGUAGUUUGACUGGGGCGGUCUCCUCCUAAAGAGUAACGGAGGAGCACGAAGGUUGGCUAAUCCUGGUCGGACAUCAGGAGGUUAGUGCAAUGGCAUAAGCCAGCUUGACUGCGAGCGUGACGGCGCGAGCAGGUGCGAAAGCAGGUCAUAGUGAUCCGGUGGUUCUGAAUGGAAGGGCCAUCGCUCAACGGAUAAAAGGUACUCCGGGGAUAACAGGCUGAUACCGCCCAAGAGUUCAUAUCGACGGCGGUGUUUGGCACCUCGAUGUCGGCUCAUCACAUCCUGGGGCUGAAGUAGGUCCCAAGGGUAUGGCUGUUCGCCAUUUAAAGUGGUACGCGAGCUGGGUUUAGAACGUCGUGAGACAGUUCGGUCCCUAUCUGCCGUGGGCGCUGGAGAACUGAGGGGGGCUGCUCCUAGUACGAGAGGACCGGAGUGGACGCAUCACUGGUGUUCGGGUUGUCAUGCCAAUGGCACUGCCCGGUAGCUAAAUGCGGAAGAGAUAAGUGCUGAAAGCAUCUAAGCACGAAACUUGCCCCGAGAUGAGUUCU